rfam:Schistosoma curassoni strain Dakar, Senegal genome assembly, scaffold: SCTD_scaffold0014803
AUCCAGCUGAGGAGUCCCAAAUGGGACGAAGAGCGCGUUUUGGAU